CAUCCUCAUUGUGAAAGGGGCGAAAAUCUCCUCCGAUUCGUUCUCCGAUGCAGUCCACUGCCAGCACCUGACUGGUGGGCCACCGUGGGGAUGAUAUCGACUGAUGCUGUGCAAUGGCCGGGCUCCAAGCGACUUUCCAUGGCCAAAUAUCGCUUGGAUCAACUCCUCAAGGUUUUAUGAUUCCCUAGGGAAGCAAGCUUCCCCCGGCCUCUGGAUGAAACCCACUCAGCCUGAGCAAGGCCAUCUCUCGGGUGGGCACCGUAACGGCUUCUAUCCCUCCACCAUUCAUCCCUUCGGAACAGUACAACCCCUUGGGUUUCGGGACCCUUUUAGAGGACUCAUACCUCACGCAGGGCUUACAUCGGACUAAUUCUUAGUCCCGGAUCUGC
rnacentral:lncRNA from 1 species